rnacentral:miRNA from 1 species
CUAAACGGUACAUUACAACU